CACAGGCAGCGGAGCGUGUGGUUUAAUUCGUUGCUACACGAAGAACCUUACCUGGGUUUGACAUAUAGGUUGUAGGGAACUGAAAAGGGACCGACCCUUCGGGGAGCCUAUACAGGUGUUGCAUGGCUGUCGUCAGCUCGUGUCGUGAGAUGUUCGGUUAAGUCCGCUAACGAGCGCAACCCUCGUCGUAUGUUAUAUGUGUCAUACGAGACUGCCGGUAAAAGCCGGAGGAAGGUGAGGAUGAUGUCAAGUCAGCAUGACCUUUAUAUCCAGGGCUACACACACGCUACAAUGGUCUGUACAAUGGGUAGCCAAGCCGCGAGGCGGAGCCAAUCCUGAAAGCAGGCCUCAGUUCAGAUUGCAGUCUGCAACUCGACUGCAUGAAGCCGGAGUUGCUAGUAACCGCAGGUCAGCAAUACUGCGGUGAAUACGUUCCCGGGUCUU
rnacentral:rRNA from 1 species